GAUGAACGCUGGCGGCGUGCUUAACACAUACAAGUCGAACGAAGCACUUAUUUCAGAUCCCUUCGGGGUGACGAGGUUUGUGACUGAGUGGCGGACGGGUGAGUAACGCGUGGGUAACCUGCCUCAUACAGGGGGAUAACAGUUGGAAACGGCUGCUAAUACCGCAUAAGCGCACAGUACCACAUGGUACGGUGUGAAAAACUCCGGUGGUAUGAGAUGGACCCGCGUCUGAUUAGCUAGUUGGUAAGGUAACGGCUUACCAAGGCGACGAUCAGUAGCCGGCCUGAGAGGGUGAACGGCCACAUUGGGACUGAGACACGGCCCAGACUCCUACGGGAGGCAGCAGUGGGGAAUAUUGCACAAUGGGGGAAACCCUGAUGCAGCGACGCCGCGUGAAGGAAGAAGUAUUUCGGUAUGUAAACUUCUAUCAGCAGGGAAGAAAGUGACGGUACCUGACUAAGAAGCCCCG
rnacentral:rRNA from 1 species